ACCAGUGUGGUGUAGUGGUUUGAGUAUUUGACUGUGACUCUGGAGAUCAGGGUUCAAAUCCCAGCUUGGCCA